rnacentral:misc_RNA from 1 species
GAACGCACAUUGCGCCCGGUGGUAUUCCACCGGGCAUGCCUGUUCGAGCGUCAUUUCAACCCUCAAAGCCUAGCUUUGGUGUUGGAGGAAUACCUGUAAAAGGGUACCCUCUGAAAUUUAGUGGCGGGCUCGCUAGAAUUUUGAGCGUAGUAAUUUUACCUCGUUUUUAAAGACUAGUGGGUUCUUGCCGUAAAAACCCCCAACUUUCUGAAAAUUGACCUCGGAUCAGGUAGGAAUACCCGCUGAACUUAAG